AAAAGCUGUAUCGAUUGUUGAGAUCUGGCGACUUGUUUAAAUUUCAUCAGCCUCACUUCUAUGAACUCUCAGAGCUGAUUACCAACUCCUACCACUGUUAACCCUCAUCCAGGAACAAGCUUAUGUCUUUAACAUUCUGAGUGGGCUUCAGCAUCCUUGCAUAUGUUCAAUUCUUAAAAACCUGUUGAAAUAAAAGAUCAGGAGACAUAGGAAGGAUGCCAGAAGAGAGCGUGGCCUCACGUGUACCAGCUCUCUGCUCUCCUUUGCCUUGGGACGUUCCAUCCCUGGAAGUUUCCCUGCCCACAUCUUUGUAGAGAGUCCAUUCUCCAAGCUUCAGUGUGUCAUCUGUGAGGACCGUGACCCACCUGGUACAUCGCCUCAGGGCAUUCAUUUCAGGCUCCUUCUAAAUGGCCAAGUUUUCAAGAUUGUUUUGGCUCUAGCAAAACAAGUUGGAACAUUCACAUCAUCCAAGACAACACCAACAUUUUUGUAAUGGCCUGCAAGGCCUUCCGAGAUCUACCUCCUGCAACUCAGCUUCUCCUGUGCUCUCCUUCUGGACUCACUCUGCCUCAGCAACACUGGUCCCUGUUGCCCCACCAAUAUGCCAGUCAUCUAUGAACUGACUCUGUCUCAAAAAAAAAAAGAAAAAAAAGAAAAGAAAGAAUGAAAAAAAAAACUAGGACAUGGCUAACAGGAAUGGGGACAAAGAAUCUGCACUGAUGAGGAAACUGAAACAGAAAAUCCAGAGUAAAUUCCACCAGGCCACACAGCAAGGUCUGAUAGAGCCAGGAGAGACUUUAUGAAAUCCAGACUCUCACACUAAUGCUCUAUCAGCUAGACCUCCAUGUGAGUCUCCCCAAUGUAGGUAGGAAGUGCUUUCCC
rnacentral:lncRNA from 10 species